rnacentral:miRNA from 1 species
GCAUGAGGGGAGUUGAGCAGG